rnacentral:rRNA from 1 species
ACGAACAAAGUUUAAAUCCAAAGAACUUGGCGGUAUCUUAUAAAAUCAGGGGAACCUGUCACUUAAUUCGAUAAUCCACGCAACUCAUUACCCUAUCUUGAAAAACAGCCUGUGUACUGCUGUCGUCAGUAAACCUCUAAAAGAAAGUUUACAUAUAUAUAAUCUAUAUUCACGUCAAGUCAAAGUGCAGCCUAUGAUAGGGGGUAGAUGGGUUACAAUCUCAACACAGAUACGGAAAUAAAAAUAAAUUUUUAUGGAAGGUGGACUUGAAAGUAAGCCUUAAUGGACUGAAAAUAUAUCUAAGAUAUGCACACAUCGCCCGUCACUCUCGUCUAAAGAUGAGAUAAGUCGUAACAAAGUAGGUUUUA